rnacentral:rRNA from 1 species
UACGUAGGGGGCAAGCGUUGUCCGGAAUCAUUGGGCGUAAAGGGCGUGUAGGCGGUUCGGUAAGUCUGCUGUGAAAGUCCAGGGCUCAACCCUGGGAUGCCGGUGGAUACUGUCGGACUAGAGUACGGAAGAGGCGAGUGGAAUUCCCGGUGUAGCGGUGAAAUGCGCAGAUAUCGGGAGGAACACCAAUUGCGAAGGCAGCUCGCUGGGACGUUACUGACGCUGAGACGCGAAAGCGUGGGGAGCAAACAGG